UACGGAGGGAGCUAGCGUUGUUCGGAAUUACUGGGCGUAAAGCGCACGUAGGCGGCUUUCUAAGUUAGAGGUGAAAGCCCGGAGCUCAACUCCGGAAUUGCCUUUAAGACUGGAUCGCUUGAAUCAUGGAGAGGCGGGUGGAAUUCCGAGUGUAGAGGUGAAAUUCGUAGAUAUUCGGAAGAACACCAGUGGCGAAGGCGGCCCGCUGGACAUGUAUUGACGCUGAGGUGCGAAAGCGUGGGGAGCAAACAGG
rnacentral:rRNA from 1 species